rnacentral:rRNA from 1 species
UACGUAGGGGGCAAGCGUUGUCCGGAUUUAUUGGGCGUAAAGCGCGCGUAGGCGGCAAGGUGUGUCGUGCGUGAAAUCCCCCGGCUUAACCUGGGAACUGCGUCUGAUACUGGAGGGCUUGAGUAUGGGAGAGGGAUGUAGAAUUCCAGGUGUAGCGGUGAAAUGCGUAGAUAUCUGGAGGAAUACCGGUGGCAAAGGCGGCAUCCUGGACCAUUACUGACGCUGAGGCGCGAAAGCUAGGGGAGCAAACGGG